rnacentral:rRNA from 1 species
UACGUAGGGGGCAAGCGUUGUCCGGAUUUAUUGGGCGUAAAGAGCGUGUAGGCGGCUUUACAGGUCCGUUGUGAAAACUCGAGGCUCAACCUCGAGACGCCGGUGGAAACCGUAAAGCUAGAGUCCGGAAGAGGAGAGUGGAAUUCCUGGUGUAGCGGUGAAAUGCGCAGAUAUCAGGAGGAACACCAAUGGCGAAGGCAGCUCGCUGGGACGGUACUGACGCUGAGGCGCGAAAGCGUGGGGAGCGAACAGG